rnacentral:lncRNA from 1 species
GACCCCCCCACCAAACCGCCUCCUUAUCUUUAUUACUUUGUCUUCAUCCUGAGACAGAAUGGAUGUGUGAGACAGUGAGUGUGUGUGCGUGUAAGAGUGAAUGUGAGUGGUUUGUGUGCACGUGUGUGGUGUGUGCACUGCAUGACUGUGAGUGUGCAGAUGUGUGUGAAUGUGAGUGGUUUGUGUGUACAAGUGUGUGAAUGUGUGCAUGUGUAAAUGUGUGUGAAUGAGUGUGUGUGCAAGUGUGUUUGUGUGAGUGGGAGUGCAAGUGUCUGGGUCAGUGUGAGUGCGUGUGGGUGACUGUGUAAAUGUGUGUAUGGAUGAGUGGUUUGUGUGCACAUGCGUGUGUGUAAAAGUGUGUGUGCAUGCGUGUGUGGGAGUGCAAGUGUGUGGAUCAGUGUGUAUGUGUGAGUGCAUGUGUGCGCGCGCUGGCGUGUGUGAGUGUGUGUGUGUGAAUCUGGUUUGACAGAUGCAGGACCCAGGACCUGGAGCCUGCGGUGUCCCUGCGUGCCCCAUCAGUUUUCUGCCGAUGCGGAAAACCGAGGACCAGCUGCAGAGGCCUCCACACAGCCCCUACCCUCCACAACUUCCCUGGGACAGAAUGGCUGGGACCGGUUCUGCCUGAACAUGAGCCCCUCGGAG